rnacentral:misc_RNA from 1 species
GAUGAAGAACGCAGCGAAAUGCGAUAAGUAGUGUGAAUUGCAGAAUUCAGUGAAUCAUCGAAUCUUUGAACGCACAUUGCGCCCUUUGGUAUUCCUUAGGGCAUGCCUGUUCGAGCGUCAUUUAAACCUUCAAGCUAAGCUUGGUGUUGGGUGACUGUCCGCUUCACGGCGGACUCGCCUCAAAAUUAUUGGCGGCCGGUACAUUGGCUUCGAGCGCAGCAGAAACGCGAACUCGGGCCCGUCGUAUUGGCUCCCAGAAGCUAUCUUCACAAUUUUGACCUCGGAUCAGGUAGGGAUACCCGCUGAACUUAAGCAUAUCAAUAAGCGGAGGC